AUGACUUUGGUGGGCUGGACUAUAUCUUCCCUACUUCUGGCUGUUUUCCCCAUGCUGCCAGUUGUUGGAAGAGAGCCAAAUUACUCCUUGGUGAUUUUGGCAGGAAUCCUUGGGGCUGUUGCUGCCUUUUGGUGUGCCUCAAGAAAAGAGACCAAACUUCUGUCUAGUAACUCCAAAUCAUCCCUUGUGUUGAUCAUAGCACAGGUCAGUAUUGA